rnacentral:rRNA from 1 species
UACGAAGGGGGGCUAGCGUUGCUCGGAAUCACUGGGCGUAAAGGGUGCGUAGGCGGGUCUUUAAGUCAGGGGUGAAAUCCUGGAGCUCAACUCCAGAACUGCCUUUGAUACUGAAGAUCUUGAGUUCGGGAGAGGUGAGUGGAACUGCGAGUGUAGAGGUGAAAUUCGUAGAUAUUCGCAAGAACACCAGUGGCGAAGGCGGCUCCACUGGCC